rnacentral:rRNA from 1 species
CCUGGUAGUCCACGCCGUAAACGAUGUCGACUUGGAGGUUGUGCCCUUGAGGCGUGGCUUCCGGAGCUAACGCGUUAAGUCGACCGCCUGGGGAGUACGGCCGCAAGGUUAAAACUCAAAUGAAUUGACGGGGGCCCGCACAAGCGGUGGAGCAUGUGGUUUAAUUCGAUGCAACGCGAAGAACCUUACCUGGUCUUGACAUCCACGGAAGUUUUCAGAGAUGAGAAUGUGCCUUCGGGAACCGUGAGACAGGUGCUGCAUGGCUGUCGUCAGCUCGUGUUGUGAAAUGUUGGGUUAAGUCCCGCAACGAGCGCAACCCUUAUCCUUUGUUGCCAGCGGUCCGGCCGGGAACUCAAAGGAGACUGCCAGUGAUAAACUGGAGGAAGGUGGGGAUGACGUCAAGUCAUCAUGGCCCUUACGACCAGGGCUACACACGUGCUACAAUGGCGCAUACAAAGAGAAGCGACCUCGCGAGAGCAAGCGGACCUCAUAAAGUGCGUCGUAGUCCGGAUUGGAGUCUGCAACUCGACUCCAUGAAGUCGGAAUCGCUAGUAAUCGUGGAUCAGAAUGCCACGGUGAAUACGUUCCCGGGCCUUGUACACACCGCCCGUCACACCAUGGGAGUGGGUUGCAAAAGAAGUAGGUAGCUUAACCUUCGGGAGGGCGCUUACCACUUUGUA